rnacentral:lncRNA from 1 species
GGUCACUACAUCCCGCAGCGGGGUGGCCCCUAGCUCCCGCUGCCCAAGAGCCCAGCCGAUUUCCGAGGCUCCAACUCCCCACCCGCUCCCGCCCCGGGCCGCCGCCGCCGCCUUCCCCCAUUCCUACUCCCUCCAGGAGAGCCACAGGUUGCAAAUCCAACCAACCUCGCAAUCCGUUUUUGCAAAAUCACUCACAAAGAUCUCCCUUUCGCGCCCGCGCCCCCUUCUCCCGCGCCAGGCCCCCCACCCAGAGCCACAGAGUGCCCUUCUCUCCUCCCGGGUCUUGCACGUAGGAACGCGGGCUGGGGCUGUUUGUUUUUCCCCUCGCCCAGUGCAAGGACCUCGAGAAUCUGAAGCCUGACGUCGGCUACUCUCCGGCUGGCAGUUGUCUUUUUACAAUGCUCGCACGAUGGGAAAAAAUAAGACAAAAUUUAGGAGAGGCGGGGAACAGCCAUUGGGAGCUAACACCGAGUCACGCAGCGCCCAAAACACAAACACCGCGACCGCCAGAAAUCCCGCCACCUUCCCGCUCGUCUGGGCCGUCCGGUGAAGGUUCCCGCAGUCCCCGCACGCUAAACGGCACCGCAGGUGCAAACGCGCACCCCUUUGCCACCCACCCCCCAAAUCCCUGUCCCGCCACCAGCCGCUCUCCUCGGGAUGGGGAGAGGGAGUGGAGCGGGGUUCCUGACUCCCUCGACUGCAACAUGAAAGAAUAAUUUUCAAAGUAUUCAACAUCCCCGCCCCCAGGCAAGCUAAACCUCCCCCAAAACACAGGGUAAGGGGACACCAAAACACUCGGAUCUCGUUAGGAAGAUCGCGGCUCUAAAAGGAAAUAGUAGAAACGAUACUUCAACUGGGUUUAUGGGGAGGUGGGGGGAGAGAAAAACAAAACCCGAGGAGUUCGCUUGCAUUUUUCCUCCCAAAUCUCGGCUCGGAGGCAGGGAAUCUAGAGGAGCGAGGCCGAUGGAAGGGAGCCAGCGGGGCAAGCGAGCGGGCAGCCUCCCUCCCCGUCUCCCGGAGUCACCCAGAAGGACGGGAGCGGAGAAGGAAGGAGAGGCGAGGGAGAGGAGGAGGGAGGGAGGGAAGGGGAGGCAGGAGCGAGGGAGCGAGGAAGGCAGUUUGCAAGCGAGAAAAGAGGGAAAAAACACAGCCGCCCGAAUCCAGCGAGAUCACAAGCCGUACGCAAGCAGCAGCAGAAAGAGCGAGAGCGCGAGCGCGCGUCCUCUCCGUCGUCUGGGGCCAGACAGCCCCCAGACUUGCCCGGAGCACCCCCCCAAAACACUGUCUCGUCCUCUCGGCUCCGGCCGCCCCCUAAUUCCCCUCCUUCCUCUCCUCCACCUCCUUUUCCAAAACCAAAACAACACCAGGGAGGGUGGCAAAAGCCUCCCCAAACCGGCCGAUUCACUCAAAGACAACAAGAAUAAAAUAAUAAAUAUAUAAAAAUCUAUAUCCUAGAGUGGGAGAGACGUGGGACUAAUCUUCGGCAUUUAUUUUAACACCUGACAGCUAGAAUAAAUAAAUAUAUACAUUUAUAUCAAUAGAUACACAUAGGAAACUUGGAGCCAAAGCAUUUGGCAAGAGCGGAAAAAAAAAGAAUUAAAAGGUAAAAUAAUGAUCAUGAGCAGCGGCGGCGGCAGCGGCACCAGCGGCACCAGCGGCGGCGGCGGCAGCAGCAGCAGCGGCAGCAGCAACAGCAAUAAUCACCUGGUGUCCGG